AGAGUUUGAUCAUGGCUCAGGAUGAACGCUGGCGGUGUGCCUAAUACAUGCAAGUCGAACGGGCUCUUCGGAGCUAGUGGCGGACGGGUGAGUAACACGUUGGUACCUACCCCUAAGUGGGGAAUAACUGCCCGAAAGGGUGGCUAAUACCGCAUAAUCCCGCAAGGGUAAAGCAGUAAUGCGCUUAGGGAGGGGCCUGCGUCUGAUUAGCUAGUUGGUAGUGUAAUGGACUACCAAGGCGACGAUCAGUAGCUGGAUCGAGAGGUUGACCAGCCACACUGGGACUGAGAUACGGCCCAGACUCCUACGGGAGGCAGCAGUAAGGAAUCUUCCACAAUGGACGAAAGUCUGAUGGAGCAACACCGCGUGCAGGAUGACGGCCUUCGGGUUGUAAACUGCUUUUAUAUAGGAAGAUUAUGACGGUACUAUAUGAAUAAGGACCGGCUAACUACGUGCCAGCAGCCGCGGUAAUACGUAGGGUCCAAGCGUUAUCCGGAAUCACUGGGCGUAAAGCGUGCGUAGGUGGCGUGUUAAGUGUGGUGUUAAAUCGUGGGGCUCAACCCUAUCGAUGCAUCGCAUACUGGCAUGCUAGAGGGAAGCAGAGGCAAGUGGAAUUUGUAGUGUAGCAGUGAAAUGCGUAGAUAUUACAAGGAACACCAAUGGCGAAGGCGCUUGCUGGGCUUCUUCUGACACUGAGGUACGAAAGCGUGGGGAGCGAACAGGAUUAGAUACCCUAGUAGUCC
rnacentral:rRNA from 1 species